AUGACUUCUACUACUAAUACAUGGGCUAUCGCAGGCGGAAGUGUUGACGGUAGCAGAGAAGAGAUAUUCCGAAUUCUUCAGGGAUCAACAGAUUAUAAGGUCAUCUAUUUUCAUGGUUGGGAUGGACUGGGAGCGUCUGUUGUCCUUAGAUCCAUAGCAGAAGUGCUCCCAUAUAGGAGAACCACUCCAGAACUAUGCUUUGAUAAGAUAAUCCAUAUAGAUUGUUCUGAUUGGAAAAAUAGAAGAGGAUUGCAGAGGGCAAUCGCAGAGGAACUGGAGCUGGCAAGCUCAAUAAUGGCUGUUAUGAAUAAGCAGGAUGAAGAGGAUGAUUUUGAUGGAGUUGAUGAAAGCUCUAGGAAUGAGAUAACAAGUGUGUCAAGAGAGAUUCACAAUAUUCUGAAAUACAACAGAUUUGUGUUGAUUUUUCAUAAUGGUAGUGACAACGAGAUUGUUGACCUAGUGAACUUUGGUGUUCCUCCGAUUACAAGUUUUGGUGACAAUGUGAUGAUAUGGACCUACAGAAGGAUGAUGUUGACAAUCAAAGAAUGCAAACAAUAUGAAACACUACACGAACUGAGGUACACUCAUCUUUGGGUUCAUGACAGUAUGGAGUAUCUAGCAGAAUAUCCUCCUUCUGAAAAACAGUUCUAUGCACUGCUGUGUAAAGUGGCUGAAAUCAUAGUUGCUGGCAAACCAUGCACCCAGGGAGUCAAUCCAAUGGUGGUUGUCGAUUGUUGUCUGUACAAACUAUUCCUGCAAUGUGGUUUUUACAAGACCAAUUUUGAUUGGGAUGGCCUUGAUUCGAGUUUUUGGCUAUGUGAUGAGAUAUUGCCAAAAGACAUAACAUUGGAGAUGAGUGAUGCAUUGCACCGAGAGAUAAGCUGGGAGUGUGAUGACGAUGUGCUCACAAAAAUCAAGAAACAUUUCAAACUCCCUUUCUUAGUAGUUAAAGAAGAUGGUGUAUAUGAAGAAGCACCAUACCGUUGGAUUUCUAUCACAUCAAGGGAUAUGGAAAUACUUGGUAUGAAAACUUUGCCGGCAGAGACAACAUCAUUCUUCUUGGAGUUUCAAAUAUCCGAUCAGCCAACAGCAUUGCCAAAUGGUUUAUUUGAGUAUUCCAUAAACCUUGGUGUGCUAAUUCUCUGUUGGUGUGCCUUCAAUUUUACAUCACCUCCUUUCCUAAAAUGCCAUAGCAUAAGAUUCCUUGGACUGAACCACUGUACAGAUGACAGAACGGGUGAAGGAGAGGAACAUACUGAGUGGGAGUGUCUACAUAGCUUGUGGGUGUUGGACCUACGCUACACUGCCUGGAAUGAAAUCUUAUCACCGUAA
rnacentral:rRNA from 1 species